UUCCACUCUAUUUAAGUACAGGUGAUCAGAAUGAUUCAUGCAGCUGUAGAUGAAAGCAUACCAUUAAUUAAAAGGACUGCAUGGCACUUUCUUGAUUGUAUUUGCCACACCUUAACUGAUUAAGAAUAAUUCAAAUGACACUCCUCAGCAGUCACUAGCUUAUUGAACUAGAGUAGCUAAGGACUGGAGUUAGAUUAUGUUGUUUGUUUUAUUUAUUUUAUUUUAACCUGCAAUUUAGACAAGCUGGUGCUUCCACUGAUCUGCCCCAAAGAAUAAAUCUUUUACCAGACACUCCUGGGGAAGCCCUUUCACUCUGCUUCUAUGCCUAGGCUGUCCCAGGGCACUGCUUGGAUAUGGCAGGAUUUCCAGGCCACUCAUCCCCUACCUGCUGGUGAACGUCCAUACCUGGUCCGCAACCAGCAGCUGGAGGGCGAUUAAAUGCAUUCACCAGCAGAGGUCUCCCGCAGCCUGCUGUUGUUACUGAAGCUGACAGCUUGAAGAUCUGAAGGUGUAGCUAGGGAAAAAUUCACACAAGUUCUGCAGAAAUCAGGUUUUGUCAUGUGGCAUUCAGCACACCUGUGCCUGGUAGCUGGCUGCUGAGACUGGAUGAUAACAAUGUAAGGAUACACACUAUGAAGCUGGCUUUUAGCUGUGUUUUGCUACAGACCAUAUUGUCAGCCUUCCCAUGAGGGAGCAGUUAGCUACAAAAGCAAUCCAUUUAGAGACGGGGAGAUUACUCAUAUGAAUAACAGCUCAUUCAUAUGAGUAAGGAAAUUACAACCCCCAUCUGGGCAUGUGCCUAGUCAUUACAUGACAGCGAACUAUAAUGAGCGCACCUGAAAACAUAUGAAGCUUUGACAUAUGUUAACAACUGCUAUAGUAUUUCUUACCUUGCUAGUAGAAAAGUGACACAAAAUAGGUAAAAGACUUAAGAAAUAAUCAGUUUCUACAGAGAUCUACUGUCAGUGCUCCAAGAUGGAGCUCUUGUCAUGUGUAUACCAGCCAUCUUCUAAUAAUGUUGCACAUAACUGUUGCUCAGGCAGAAGAGAAAACUGCCUCCAAAACAGCUGAACAAAGCAAUUUUACAUAAUACAAAGAGGGCAGUGUUAACUGUAUGCAAACCCCACCCAAUCAUUUGAAAAUUCAGGGAAUUUCUACGUAUUCAGCACAGAAACAUCUACCAUUGAAAUCUAGCUCUCCACAAAGUUAUUCUGUGUACAGAAUCUCUAUGUGAUUCAUCUUCGUUUUAGAGGAAAGAGAAAGACAAGAAAAUUCAAUUUAAAACUCCAGUUUAACUUAAAAACUUGCACAUAUUAAAGUUUCAAGGUCAAAAUUCCCCGAAGUGCCAGUGUCCAAAUUGCUUCUCAUUUAGAAACCUUAGGCAAGACAAAGCAGAAAGAUCUAAACAAAACAAAAACAUACAUAAGUUGAGCAGAAGGCUAAAUUUGGCAACCAGAAAUGGCAGGUCUCCUCAAGAAUGCAGCUAUUCUCAUGAGGCCUGUAUCAUGCAAACUUCUUCAAAGCACACAAAUAUUAUUGAUUUCCUCUAC